UGCUGGCCAUCUUUGACCUUCCCCUGCUCUGUGCUAGCUGUGCAGAUGGCAGGAGCUGACCCGGCAGUUCUCCGGUCUGUGUUCCUAGGACUUUGAGUGUGCCAAGGCAGCGGUGGAGAGAAAGCAAACUGUAUCUGCAUGUCCUUAUCUCUCCAGAAAAGCACUAAACCUUACAUGAAAGCCAGGCCAUCCUCCUCGCUAUUUAGCUGUGUUGCAUUUGGCUUUGAGGGCACCUGCAGCUUGCAGGGUACCCAGGAGAAAAUCUUCUGGUAAGGGAAGGCAGAGGCUUCUGGUUCAAAACAUCAUGCAGCCAGCCAGGUUUGGGGCACGGGUUAGAUACAGAUUAUUAAGUGUCUUGAGGAGGAAGGAAAUCUUAAGAAACAAAUUGGCCACUAGCCCUAAGAUGGCCCGGUUUUGCUGCCCUUUUUCCAGGACAUGUGGCAAAACCACAGGCUUGGCUCUGCUAGUCUUACCUAGAGCUGGGUCCAAAGGCAGCCUUCUAUUUUGAGGACGCUUGUUCAAGCUUUUGCAGUGGAAUGUUUUGCAAAGCGCAGUGAGAAGAUGGAGGUCUGUCUUGCAGAGCAGAUUCCAUGCAGUUAGCGCAGUCAUCCUCAUCUAAUUGACGAAUAGCAGCAGCUUAUAAAACAAUAGCAUAUUGCAGCUAGAGGAGUUGCAUUUGAAAAUGCGGUACUUGCCAGAUUCCUGCAUUUGGUACAAGAAAGAUUUUCUGUCCUUUGAACAUAACGUCAUGGUCCGUGGUAACCCAGCAGGAACUACGGUGACUUAUCACCGGACUGUUGAACCUGAAAGGGACUCUUUUCCACCCACCCAUGAAAACAGAUUUAAUUUAUCUGGACCAAGCUGCAUACUUUGCCUUCCAUUGAUAGAAAAUAAAAAUUAGCAGAACUGGCCUUUAAUAUCACCUUGCUUUGGCAGAUUUUCAAGCAAGCAGAAGAGAGUGUUAAGGGCCUCCACUGAGACUCCUCUGACACCAAGCUGUGGAGAGGUCCAUUCCAAGCUGAAGGGCAUCCCACCAUGGGUCAUAAUGCAAGAGUCAAAUUAAAAAAAACCAGCCACUUAAAAGUAAGUGGUUCAAUGGGGACAUUUGGUUUUGGAACUGUGAACUGCAUAAUUUAAAAAAUAACCUUGUACUUUGGAGCCUAGCACUGACAACCAAUGUAUAAUAUCCCACCAGCAGAAUAUGAAAGGAAAAAUUCUGUCUUGGAUGGAAUGUGUGGGAAGUUUAUGCCUCUGAAUUUGCCUCUGAAUCUUGAAUAUUCAUUCCCUCUGACCUUUCUACAUCGUGCAUGUUCCAGAAUCUGGAAUCUGAUUCCACAUCAAUCUAACUUUGAAUAAAAAAAUGGUUUUGAUAGUUUUGUAAAGUAGGAA